GAUGAACGCUGGCGGCGUGCCUAAUACAUGCAAGUCGAGCGAACAGACGAGGAGCUUGCUCCUUUGACGUUAGCGGCGGACGGGUGAGUAACACGUGGAUAACCUACCUAUAAGACUGGGAUAACUUCGGGAAACCGGAGCUAAUACCGGAUAACAUGUUGAACCGCAUGGUUCAACAGUGAAAGACGGUCUUGCUGUCACUUAUAGAUGGAUCCGCGCCGCAUUAGCUAGUCGGUAAGGUAACGGCUUACCAAGGCAACGAUGCGUAGCCGACCUGAGAGGGUGAUCGGCCACACUGGAACUGAGACACGGUCCAGACUCCUACGGGAGGCAGCAGUAGGGAAUCUUCCGCAAUGGGCGAAAGCCUGACGGAGCAACGCCGCGUGAGUGAAGGAGGUCUUCGGAUCGUAAAACUCUGUUAUUAGGGAAGAACAAAUGUGUAAGUAACUAUGCACGUCUUGACGGUACCUAAUCAGAAAGCCACGGCUAACUACGUG
rnacentral:rRNA from 1 species